CGUAGGGUGCGAGCGUUAAUCGGAAUUACUGGGCGUAAAGCGUGCGCAGGCGGUUUUUGUAAGACAGAUGUGAAAUCCCCGGGCUCAACCUGGGACCUGCAUUUGUGACUGCAAGGCUAGAGUACGGUAGAGGGGGAUGGAAUUCCGCGUGUAGCAGUGAAAUGCGUAGAUAUGCGGAGGAACACCGAUGGCGAAGGCAAUCCCCUGGACCUGUACUGACGCUCAUGCACGAAAGCGUGGGGAGCAAACAGGAUUAGAUACCCUGGUAGUCCACGCCCUAAACGAUGUCAACUGGUUGUUGGGUCUUUACUGACUCAGUAACGAAGCUAACGCGUGAAGUUGACCGCCUGGGGAGUACGGCCGCAAGGUUG
rnacentral:rRNA from 1 species